AUCUGUAAAAAAGAGUUUAGCACAAAGCAGUGUUGACAAUACUGAGUCACUGGAUUAAUCUAGAGGUUCGAAUGUAUAUCUGAAGCUGAACUCCAUGAUCGGACGUCUAGUCACACACACGUUGUCUAGAACACAAAAUACCUUACCACCGCGAAGCUUGGCGUUCUACAUCAAAGCGUUCUUAACACUUUUUUGUAGAAACAGCUAUUAGUAGAAAUAUUUAAGGAACGACUCAAGGAGCUUCAACAGAAAAGCGUAUUAUUCCCUUAAAAGCGGGCGACACAGCCGUAAGCAUUUCAGCGUGUCCGAAGGCGGCGGAAGCACUCCUUUCCAAGUGACCUGCCUGUUCGUUGGAUCCCUGACCCAUAGAGAAAGAUAAGAUAAUGGUCGUAAUUCUGAUGUACAACUCGUGGCAACACAAGGAAAUUUCAACCUAAAGAAAAGGAUGGCAACAUUUCGAAGAUUUCAAAACAGAUUUAAUAAAGAACUAAUUGUGCUAGAAGGACACUUAUAACGCGGCCUCAGGCGCCUAACCAUA